rnacentral:rRNA from 1 species
AAACUGCGAAUGGCUCAUUAAAUCAGUUAUAGUUUAUUUGAUGGUCCUUACUACAUGGAUAACUGUGGUAAUUCUAGAGCUAAUACAUGCUUAAAAGCCCCGACUUCUGGAAGGGGUGUAUUUAUUAGAUAAAAACCAACCCUUCGGGUCCCUUGGUGAAUCAUAAUAACUUCUCGAAUCGCAUGGCCUUGCGCCGGCGAUGCUUCAUUCAAAUAUCUGCCCUAUCAACUGUCGAUGGUAGGAUAGAGGCCUACCAUGGUUGCAACGGGUAACGGGGAAUAAGGGUUCGAUUCCGGAGAGGGAGCCUGAGAAACGGCUACCACAUCCAAGGAAGGCAGCAGGCGCGCAAAUUACCCAAUCCCAACACGGGGAGGUAGUGACAAUACGUAACAAUAUAGGGCUUUUACAGGUCCUAUAAUUGGAAUGAGUACAAUUUAAAUCCCUUAACGAGGAACAAUU